rnacentral:misc_RNA from 1 species
GAUGAAGAACGUAGUGAAAUGCGAUAAGUAAUGUGAAUUGCAGAAUUCAGUGAAUCAUCGAAUCUUUGAACGCACAUUGCGCCCUCUGGUAUUCCGGGGGGCAUGCCUGUUCGAGCGUCAUUAUAACCACUCAAGCUCUCGCUUGGUAUUGGGGUUCGCGGUUCCGCGGCCCCUAAAAUCAGUGGCGGUGCCUGUCGGCUCUACGCGUAGUAAUACUCCUCGCGAUUGAGUCCGGUAGGUCUACUUGCCAGCAACCCCCAAUUUUUACAGGUUGACCUCGGAUCAGGUAGGGAUACCCGCUGAACUUAAGCAUAUCAAUAAGCGGAGGA